GCCAAUCACUGCACUGCCCUCUCGCUCCUUCCCUGCUGCAAGACCGAUACUGGCGCGCUUAGCCCGCCAUCUCAAGGAUUUAAGGACUUGGGUAGUGACUUCCACAGGAAGAAGGUUCGGCGUUGGUGGAUCUAAAGCUGGUAUUGUUAGAAAAAAAUGUGGUUGGCUAAUAUGCUGGCUUCUUUAUCUCCUGAGGCUCUGCGCUCAUCAUAGCACAGGCCCAAAAGCAGGAUUCAAAGACCCUGUUGCCGCCGCUUCUAACCUCUUUGGAGGUGGGAGCCAAAGUCCACCUGGUGUCGGUGUCUGAUGAAACUUUCAACCACUUCCCUGCUACCUCCACGCCUCCUAGCACUUCCAGGACUGGUUUUCUGGUAGCUGCUAAGUCAUCUUCGUGCCAUAAAGCCAUGUAUUAGAUUUCCGGUCGGCAGGGGCCAAGUCUUCCCAGCCCUUGGAACCUGAGCCCUGUCUGGACUGUAAUUAAUGCGAUGUGGAGUCCCCUGUACUAAUGAUCGGAGGGCAACUGUUCACCACCAACACACACACACACACACACACACACACACACACAGACACACACACACACACGGUUUCACAGCAUCUCACUGGAUCUAGACCUCAUAUUGCCCUUGUUAGCCCGGUUCUACAGAUAAAUGGAAAUAAGUCACGUGCCUGGAAUGCAGCAGAACUACUCUGACCAAAUACCUAACUAAAGCAACAUAAGAGAGAAAGGUCUUGUUUGGGCUCACAGUUUAAGGGGAGGUCAAGCGUGGUGGGGAAGGCGCAGCCGCAGGACCGUGAGGCAGUGGUCAUCUCGUUGUCACAGGAAGCAAUGCACACUAGUACUUACAUCGCUUCUUUCUCCUUUUUCAGGUAUGAAUCGCAUCUCCAGGCGGGAGGACUGAUUGGCAGGCCUAGAGAACUGAGGGACCAAAGGGAAACACUAAGUAACGCCAAAACCAUAUCUGCAGGGCAACUUCUAACCCAGGGCAAGAGAGCAAAGAUCUUUGGACUAGGGGGCAGAGGGGGAAGAGCAGAAGCUUGGAGGCUUCCAAAAGACUGGAAACUUGGAAGAGGGGCUUUAUGAAUGAAUUGUGCCCCCCCCCAAAAAAAAGAUGCAGAACUAACAGAUACAGAUACUGACCUUCAUAGAUGGCAUCUUGAAGAAAUGUCUUCAGGAACAGGAAGGUAGCUCCACAGAUCCCUCCCCUGCAAACCCGACGGGUCAUUAAUGCCGCACACGGACACUUCACACUGUCGGUGAUAAUAAUUCAUCAACAUUUAGAGGGGCUCUCCAAAACCCCAGUGAAAUGAACGGCAAACAAUAAACUGUAUUUGGUCACAUGAUGAGAAACGUAUCGGGUAUUUGGUCACAUUAUAAGAAAUGUAACUAACAUGCCUCGGUCUGGAGCGGCCAUGGCCGUCCAUGACGGCUGCGAAGCCUCCUCGGGAUCGGUGCCCUUGUGAACUCCACUGUGUUUAGCGGCACUCUCUGCUCUGUCUCCCUCCCUGGUGCCCACAGCUGGCAAUCCCAGGGGUUCUCCCUAAUAAACCUAUUUAUGCAAAUCUCCCUCUGAGUCUGCUUUCCCAGGGAACUUGACCUACAACAGAGGGUAAAGGUGUCAAUUAUUCCCCAAUUAAAGUAUAUACUUA